AUGAUAGCACUGGAGCCACCGCCGGAGCUCCAACGCAGUAGCACCAGAGCCGCCCGCAGAUCUCCAACGCGGCAGCACCGGAGCCGAUGGAAAAAACAAGUUUCAACUCGACACCGACGAUGCCCGUGGAAACUCCACUGUAGCUCCAUGGCAGCACCGCGGCGUGAAGAAAAGCUCCAUGCAGCACCAUCGGCGUCCCGACGAAUCUCCGUGCAGCCCCGGCCGCUCUCCAUUGUAGCCGCGACGGAGCUCCAUUGCAGCCCCGGCUGCCCUCCAUUGCAGCAGCGGCGGAGCUCCAUUGCAGCUCCAGCCGCGCUCCAUUGCAGUCACCGGCGCGCGGCGUUCCGGCGAACCUCCAUUGCAGCUCGAGCCGCACUCCAUUGCAGCCGAGACCGGGCUCCAUUGCAGCCACGGCGGGGCUCCAUUGCAGCCGGAAGCGACCAUUGCAGCCACCGGCGCGCUCCAUUGGAGCCGCGGCGGGGCUCAGUUGCAGCCGGAUGCGCUCGUUGCAGCCACCAGUGCGCUCCAUUGCAACGCAGCCGACGACGGCGGAUCAGCGACGCAGCAUGUGGUAGCCAUGGCGGGACGCGGGAUGUGGCAGCCACGGCGGGAGGCAGCGGUGGUGCCUAUCCUCUAGAGCUGAACGAGAAAAGGGGAAAAGAAAGGAACUGGCCGAGGGAGAUGAUAAGGCGGAGGGAGACGAUAAGGUGGGACCGGUGA
rnacentral:rRNA from 1 species